UUCCGUAGGGGGGACCUGCGGAGGGAUCAUUACCGAGUUUACAACUCCCAAACCCCUGUGAACAUACCUAUACGUUGCCUCGGCGGAUCAGCCCGCGCCCCGUAAAAAGGGACGGCCCGCCCGAGGACCCCUAAACUCUGUUUUUAGUGGAACUUCUGAGUAAAACAAACAAAUAAAUCAAAACUUUCAACAACGGAUCUCUUGGUUCUGGCAUCGAUGAAGAACGCAGCAAAAUGCGAUAAGUAAUGUGAAUUGCAGAAUUCAGUGAAUCAUCGAAUCUUUGAACGCACAUUGCGCCCGCCAGUAUUCUGGCGGGCAUGCCUGUUCGAGCGUCAUUUCAACCCUCAAGCUCAGCUUGGUGUUGGGACUCGCGGUAACCCGCGUUCCCCAAAUCGAUUGGCGGUCACGUCGAGCUUCCAUAGCGUAGUAAUCAUACACCUCGUUACUGGUAAUCGUCGCGGCCACGCCGUAAAACCCCAACUUCUGAAUGUGACCUCGGAUCAGGUAGAUGCCCAUUCG
rnacentral:rRNA from 1 species